rnacentral:rRNA from 1 species
UACGGAGGGUGCAAGCGUUAUCCGGAUUCACUGGGUUUAAAGGGUGCGUAGGCGGGCUUGUAAGUCAGUGGUGAAAUCCCGGAGCUUAACUCCGGAACUGCCAUUGAUACUAUAGGUCUUGAAUUUUCUGGAAGUCAGCGGAAUAUGUCAUGUAGCGGUGAAAUGCUUAGAUAUGACAUAGAACACCAAUUGCGAAGGCAGCUGACUACGGAGUGAUUGACGCUGAGGCACGAAAGCGUGGGGAUCAAACAGG